rnacentral:misc_RNA from 1 species
UCUCCGUUGGUGAACCAGCGGAGGGAUCGUUACAGGACUCUCAAGACUCCUUCACCCUGUGAACCUCAGUACAAGCACGUUGCUUCGGCGGGUGUCCCGGCGGGGGUUUUCCCCCGCCUGUGCGCACAGCCUGCCGGAAGCCUACUCUUCUGGGUCUCUUUGCGUUGGCAUCUCGAGAAAUAACAAACAAGUUAAAACUUUCAACAACGGAUCUCUUGGUUCUG